CAUUUCUUAUAUUGUUCUGGUAAAAUAAAAGCUGAGCUGGUUGCUAUGGGCAACAAAGAUAAUCUAACUAUAGGAUGGCUGGAUAAAUCUCAUAACACUGGCCCAUAGAAACCACAGUGCAGAUUGAGAAAUAAAAGCCGAGUUUUGGAUGGUUGCUAUUGGCAACAAGGCCAAUUUUACUAUUAGGCCAUUUUAAUUAAUGAGACCCACUGACUUUUAUACAAAAAAGCAAACAGACAGGACAUAGUGUCGCUAGAUUACACUCAAGACUAUGAAAAUUGGUCUUCACCAAAAUGGCCGUUUAGAUUGAGUUUUGCACCCUGCGAUGGAGACAGUUUAUUAUUGUAACUGGAACUCGUGUCUACGGUUUGCUGAAAGGAAAGGCUUGGACGUAAAGAAGCUAAAUUAUCUCUCAUAUAAAUUGUCCAGUGACACCAACCAGAAAGAAUGUGGCGUAGACAGAAGUUUGAUAAGAAACUACAGCCAGGAUUGGAAGAAUUACGGAUACAGCACAGAGAACGAGAGACAGGUUGCACAGCUUGUUAAAGACAUUCACGGAUCAGCUGACAAGUUAAAGUCACUUAUUUCUCUCCGUCAAAGUCUCCGAAAUAAAGAUGUGCAGCUGAUGUUCAUCAGGGCAGAGGGCAGCAUGCGGGUUCUGAUCGGGUUAUUCACAUGUCAGUUUUCCAAUAUUCAGAUGGAAGCACUGAGAUGCCUGCAUGAGCUCUCCAACACCAAUGAUCCAGCCGUCUGGAAAGCAUGCCUUCCUGCAACCCCAUACCUUCUGACAUAUUUAUCAGGGAGCAGUCCAGAGUUCCUGGAGCUAUGCCUGUAUACAUUGGGCAACCUGAUUGUGGAAAGUGAGACCGCGAGAAACCAAUUACUUCUGCAAGGGAUCAUUCCUUCCUUUAUGUUGUGUACACAGUCCCCUCACGUGGCUGUAUUAGAAGCCACUGGCUAUGCACUUUCUCAGUUACUGCAAGCAAAAGAAGCCCCAGAGAAAAUAGUUCCGAUUGUCCUACAGUCUGGACUCAUACAGGAUAUUCUUAGGCUGUUGCUUUGUAGUUCAGAAGACGGUUUUGGAAUGAUGAUUGAAUUUGCUUGGUGUCUCCAUUACAUUGUUAGCAGCCAGGUGAAUAACAUGUUGCUGAUCUCUCAAGGUGUUUUAUCCAAUCUGAUGACUUUGCUUAUUAAACUAGCUGACCUUGUUACGAAAACGUCAUUUCCAGGCAUUGAACUGCUGCUUUGCCCAGUAGUACGUUGCGUGGGAAAUUUUCUAACUGAAGUUGAUUCUUCAGGCAACAAGAUUCAGAUUCAAGAUGGCCGACUCCUUGUGGCCUUGUUUGUUCUCAUGCAACAAUUUCAGAAGGAACAUACAUUCAUGGUGAAGGAGUGUCUGUGGACCCUUAAUAACCUCACAGUGGAUGACCCUGUUGUGUCCUCUGCAUUGCUGCACUUAAACCUGAUUCCUGUUCUGUUGCAGUUCUUUGGUCAUUUUACAGAUAUUAUUGUGCUGGUUCUCACAGUGUUAUGUAACAUAGCAAACUUUGGGCCUGCUUAUUGUCAGCGUCUUCAAGAAAAAGAUCUUCUGUCCAGUCUGACUCUCCUACUUGGCAGCGAAGAUGUGUUGGUGACAAUUCGCUGCUUAGAUCUGAUGAACAUCUUCUUGCGUUACUGUCCAGAGGGAUGGAGUUUAUAGAAAACCAAUUAGAAAAAACAGGGGCAACCAAUCCGAAGGUAGAUGGAGGCACUGGCGGCUGGUCGGGAUGUGAAAUGUAUAUGGUGGUGAAUAUAAGCAGUACGGAGGACAACCAUGUUCUCGAUGAAGGAAAGGAAGAGCGGAAAGACUAUCAUAUCAAGACUGAAAAAGACAUCCUUGUGCAUUCUAUAUUACAAAUUCCAGAAAUCCAUAAGCAUCACCCCGAGAUACAACAGCGUAUGGAAGCAAUCCAACAUUACUGUACCCUAAUGAUAAACGAUGACAACGCAGGGACUUCA